rnacentral:tRNA from 1 species
GAGGCCUUGGUCUAGUGGUAUGACGUCCGCCUGACUUGCGGGAGAUCCCCGGUUCGAUCCCGGGAGGCCUCA